rnacentral:rRNA from 1 species
GACAGAGGAUGCAAGCGUUAUCCGGAAUGAUUGGGCGUAAAGCGUCUGUAGGUGGCUUUUUAAGUCCGCCGUCAAAUCCCAGGGCUCAACCCUGGACAGGUAGUGGAAACUACCAAGCUAGAGUACGGUAGGGGCAGAGGGAAUUUCCGGUGGAGCGGUGAAAUGCGUAUAGAUCGGAAAGAACACCAACAGCGAAAGCACUCUGCUGGGUCGACACUGACACUGAGAGACGAAAGCUAGGGGCACGAAUGGG